rnacentral:rRNA from 1 species
CAGCCGUAAACUAUGCUCGCUAGGUGUCAGGCAUGGCGCGACCGUGUCUGGUGCCGCAGGGAAGCCGUGAAGCGAGCCACCUGGGAAGUACGGCCGCAAGGCUGAAACUUAAAGGAAUUGGCGGGGGGAGCACCACAACGGGUGGAGCCUGCGGUUUAAUUGGACUCAACGCCGGGAAGCUCACCGGAUAAGACAGCGGAAUGAUUGCCGGGCUGAAGACCUUGCCUGAAUCGCUGAGAGGUGGUGCAUGGCGUAGACGUCU